rnacentral:rRNA from 1 species
UACGUAGGGUGCGAGCGUUGUCCGGAAUUAUUGGGCGUAAAGAGCUCGUAGGUGGCUUGUCGCGUCUGCCGUGAAAGCCCAUGGCUUAACUGUGGGUCUGCGGUGGAUACGGGCAGACUGGAGUACUGCAGGGGAGACUGGAAUUCCUGGUGUAGCGGUGGAAUGCGCAGAUAUCAGGAGGAACACCGGUGGCGAAGGCGGGUCUCUGGGCAGUAACUGACGCUGAGGAGCGAAAGCGUGGGGAGCGAACAGG